GAAAUGCGAUAAGUAAUGUGAAUUGCAGAAUUCCGUGAAUCGUCGAAUCUUUGAACGCACAUUGCGCCCUCUGGCAUUCCGGGGGGCAUGCCUGUCCGAGCGUCAUUACGCACCCUCAAGCCCGGCUUGUGUGAUGGGCCCCGGCGUCUCGUUCGCGAGACGGGCCCGAAAGGCAGCGGCGGCGUCGACCCGAUGAGCCCGAGCGUAUGGGGACUUCUGUCACACGUUCGCGGUGCGGACCGGCGCCUGCUUGACUUUUCUGAUUAUCCAGGUUGACCUCGGAUCAGGUAGGGAUACCCGCUGAACUUAAGC
rnacentral:misc_RNA from 1 species